GGGGCCAGAAGAGGUGUUUCCUUUUUGCUCAGACUCAUUGGUGAGCGGAUCUGCACAGCUAAGAGCAACUGGAUCCUGUUCCAGCUCAGCCAGAGGAGGGUCCUUGGUGAGCAGCAUGGGAAGCCUGGAGACUGCUGAGAAGUGAAGCGGAUACUGUAGAAGGACCUGGAGGGGCUGAGCCAGCUCUACGAGAAGAAGGUGGCCGCCUGAGACAAGCUGAAGAGGAGGACGUGGCCACAGCAGUAGCUGGUCGGCCUGCUUGUGACUAGGACCACCAGCGGCAGAGCGUCUACAAGCAGAAGGAGCAGCAGAAGGUUGACCAGCUGUGCACCUGCACUGGGCCUGGCGCACCCUCAGCCCUUCCUGCAUUGCUGUGGUCCAGCUGCAGCUGGGUCCAGGGGUUCCUGAAAGGAAGAUGGAUUCCUAGAAUUCCCUCUUUCCACGACUGGACCUUGUGAGACAACAUGGUUGGAAGAGGACAUGGCAGUGCUUGGUAUUGCUCUGCUCCAGAGCCAGCAGGAAACCAGAUGAAAAGCAACUGAGGCCAAGGUGUCAACUCCAGGAAAGAAAGGCCAGAAGAGGAGAGGGUACCCCAGGGGACCUCUGGACUUGGAAGAGGUGUGUGGUCUGCACACUGACUCUGCUGGCGAGCGGAUCUGCACAACUUAGAGCAACUGGAUCCUGUUCCAGCUCCGCCAGAGGAGGGAUCCUUGGUAAG